rnacentral:rRNA from 1 species
UACGAAGGGGGCUAGCGUUGUUCGGAAUUACUGGGCGUAAAGUGCGCGCAGGCGGUCUUCCAAGUCAGUGGUGAAAGCCCGGAGCUCAACUCCGGAACUGCCAUUGAAACUGUAAGACUUGAGGAUGAGAGAGGUGAGUGGAAUUCCCAGUGUAGAGGUGAAAUUCGUAGAUAUUGGGAAGAACACCGGUGGCGAAGGCGGCUCACUGGCUCAUAUCUGACGCUCAGGCGCGACAGCGUGGGGAUCAAACAGG